rnacentral:tRNA from 1 species
AGGGGUAUAGCUCAAUGGUAGAGUCCUUGCCUAGUGUGCAUGAGGCUCUGAGUUUGACCCCCAGUGCCUCUG